rnacentral:rRNA from 2 species
UGGGGAAUUUUGCACAAUGGGGGAAACCCUGAUGCAGCGACGCCGCGUGAUUUAGAAGGCCUUCGGGUUGUAAAAAUCUUUUCUAUGGGAAGAAAAUGACAGUACCAUAGGAAUAAGGACCGGCUAAUUACGUGCCAGCAGCCGCGGUAAUACGUAAGGUCCGAGCGUUGUCCGGAAUCAUUGGGCGUAAAGGGUACGUAGGCGGGUAAGCAAGUUAGAAGUGAAAUCCUAUAGCUCAACUAUAGUGAGCUUUUAAAACUGCUCAUCUUGAGGUAUGGAAGGGAAAGUGGAAUUCCUAGUGUAGCGGUGAAAUGCGCAGAUAUUAGGAGGAAUACCGGUGGCGAAGGCGACUUUCUGGCCAUAACCUGACGCUGAGGUACGAAAGCGUGGGUAGCAAACAGG